UACGUAGGGGGCAAGCGUUGUCCGGAUUUAUUGGGCGUAAAGCGCGUGUAGGCGGCCGUGCAGGUCCGUUGUGAAAACUCGAGGCUUAACCUCGAGACGUCGGUACGAAACCGCGCGUAGAGUCCGGAAGAGGAGAGUGGAAUUCCUGGUGUAGCGGUGAAAUGCGCAGAUAUCAGGAAGAACACCCGUGGCGAAGGCGGCUCUCU
rnacentral:rRNA from 1 species